AACGAACGCUGGCGGCAUGCCUAACACAUGCAAGUCGAACGAUGCCUUCGGGCAUAGUGGCGCACGGGUGCGUAACGCGUGGGAAUCUGCCCUUGGCUUCGGAAUAACAGUUAGAAAUGACUGCUAAUACCGGAUGAUGUCCCCCUGAGAGAUCUUGGGGACCAAGGAUUUAUCGGCCAGGGAUGAGCCCGCGUAGGAUUAGGUAGUUGGUGGGGUAAAGGCCUACCAAGCCGACGAUCCUUAGCUGGUCUGAGAGGAUGAUCAGCCACACUGGGACUGAGACACGGCCCAGACUCCUACGGGAGGCAGCAGUGGGGAAUAUUGGACAAUGGGGGGAACCCUGAUCCAGCAAUGCCGCGUGAGUGAUGAAGGCCUUAGGGUUGUAAAGCUCUUUUACCAGGGAUGAUAAUGACAGUACCUGGAGAAUAAGCUCCGGCUAACUCCGUG
rnacentral:rRNA from 1 species